UUCUACAUACAUACUUCCUCUUAUUCAUUUUCUCUUCCAUUCCACUUCCCUACUUCCUUCGUUAACCUCUCUAUUCCUCACACUUCAUCAAAAAAAUUCUUUGCAACCAUCCAAUUUCAACACCAAAUCAAAUCCCAUGAGUUAAUUAGGAUCUAGACAAAGCUUUUCCCUGAUGGUACAAGAGUUCUUGGAAGAAUUUUGGGUCCUAAGAGGAGAAUAGUACCCACUCUUGGUAAUUACUCAUUGAGAUACAAUGCCGGACGCUUCACAUGCUUCUCCCAGGGUGAUUGGAGAGUUCGCUUAGUCGAUUCGUCAUAACUAUUUUCAAGCAGCUAAGUAGAAAGCAGCUAGUAGACUCAAAGUUCAGCUGUGUCACUCUUUUUGGUAGGCUUCUUUGAUGGAUGUCUCUUUUGUUUAUGUAUAUGUUGAAUCAGAGUAUCUGCAGCUAUUUGGAGUCUAGGAAUGUUUUAUUUGAGAUGUACUAAUAUGUAAAUAUGUCUUUUUGAUACUCUGGAUGAGAAUACAGGUUCAUAAACAGGAUUAAAGUCUUGGAAAAUAUUCAAAAUACAGAGGAUGCUCUGUCGAAAUUUCAGUGGAUAUCAUUUUAAGUCAAAUUGAAAAUUGUUUAAAUUAUAGUUGUCAAGUGUCGUCAAUAGGCUUGCCGGACUAGGAUGUUCUAGUUCGUGCGCCGGUCACGAUCGUGAAUUUUGGGUCGUGACAGCGCGUUUGGGAGAAACAAACAGAAACACGCGCAUCUCAACUGCUGCAACAGCUGUGGCAUGGCAGAAGUAGUGUAGCAGAUGCACCUUUGUGAAGAAAACCUGAUAUGUCGUGCGGAAAAUGCAACAUAGACUCCUAUUUUUCCUUUAAUAAAAACCGAGGUAGGUGUUGAGAUGUGUGUUAGAAACGAGACUCGGAGUUUUGUGCUUGCUAGGACAUAAUGGUUCUCACUCGUUUGUUCCAUGAUACAUCAUUAAUAAAAAAAUAAGUUCAAAGAAUGAAGGAGUUGAUCGUUUUCCAGAAAAUGAAACAGAUUAGUUUUGUCAAGAAUUUUCUUCUCAUUGAUCUAUUUUGGAGGAGUUGAUGUUGUCCAUAACAAACAAUCAUCUCAAUGAUUUCAUUCUCUUUUGUUGUUGGCGCUUCUACUGAAAACAAUCCAUAACAAACAAUAUUAACCAAGCCUUGUAACCUCUAUCUAUACACACACACGCAAGGAAUAACAAUGAGGAAGACAUCAAAGCAAUAUUUGUUCCUAUUUGUUUCUAAGUUUCAAACAAGAAUGCUUUUCAACCAAGUUUUCGUUAGAGGUUUACAAAUUUCUCGUAUUGGUGGUUAGAGAAGGGAUCGCGCCAACAAUAAAUGAUUAUAAACCAACAAUCUAUGUCCUAUUGUACAUGAUUUUAUUAGUAUGUUUUAUUCUUAGUGAAAGAUAUUAGUAGUAUGUUGUAUAUAAUUAGUAUAUUUAUAUUCAUCAGACCCUAGUCCAGUCCAUUUUGUAAAUGCAGUUGUAGAACUUGUUCCUAUGUGCUACAGUGUACAUGCUUAGCAUCAGUUAUAAAGAUAAGAUUUCCCAUGUUA